rnacentral:rRNA from 1 species
ACUGGUAGGCUUGGGACCGGGAGAGGUGGGAGGUACUCCAGGGGUAGGGGUGAAAUCUCGYAAUCCUUGGGGGACCACCGAUGGCGAAGGCAUCCCACCAGAACGGGUCCGACGGUGARGGACGAAAGCUGGGGGCACGAACCGGAUUAGAUACCCGGGUAGUCCCAGCUGUAAACGAUGCUCGCUAGGUGUCAGGUGCGGUGCGACCGCAU